CGCGUAGGCAAUCUGCCUUGGAGAUUGGGACAACCAUUCGAAAGAAUGGCUAAUACCAAAUACCUUGUAUUAAUCGCAUGAUCUUUAUAAUAAAGGGGGCUUCGGCUUCCGCUUCAAGAUGAGCCUGCGUCCUAUUAGCUAGUUGGUGAGGUAACGGCCCACCAAGGCAACGAUGGGUAGCCGGCCUGAGAGGGUGAUCGGCCACAUUGGGACUGAGAUACGGCCCAG
rnacentral:rRNA from 1 species